rnacentral:rRNA from 1 species
GAGCGAUCAAGUGCCUUAAGAGCAUUCGGUGGAUGCCUUGGCGCUGAGAGGCGAUGAAGGACGUGGUACGCUGCGAUAAGCCUUGGGGAGCUGCGAACGAGCUUUGAUCCAGGGAUUUCCGAAUGGGGAAACCCACCUUCGACCUUCUGUAUGGUGGUGUCAGGCUGACGCAAGUCGGUUUGGUGCUUCCAUACAGUUGGUCAGAUGAAGGUAUCAAAUCCUGAAUACAUAGGGGUUUGAAGCGAACCCGGGGAACUGAAACAUCUCAGUACCCGGAGGAAAGGACAUCAACGAGACUCCGUUAGUAGUGGCGAGCGAACGCGGAUCAGGCCAGUGCUCUGCUUGAGAUUACCGGAACGGUCUGGAAAGGCCGGCGCGAUGGGUGACAGCCCCGUACGGGACGGUCGAUAGCAGAGACUCGAGUAGGGCGGGACACGUGAAAUCCUGUCUGAACAUGGGGGG